CGCGCGCGUCGCGGGCCGGGAGGGACUUCAGAGCCUGGUUUUGGGUAGGAGUGAGGCGGCAGCUUGUCGUUUCCCGGCCCGCACCCGCCCUUGCGCUGACACCGCGGGCCUUCCUUUGCUCUGGGAACGAGCGUGGGGAGCCCUGUUCACCCUCACACCCCGGCUCCAGAGCGGCGCGGAGCACUCCAUGUUUGCUAAAUGAAAAUGAAGUCUCGGCGCGAGCGCCACCCAAACGGCGGCGUAGUUGCUUGAGAACCGCGGAGGCAACCGCUUGGGAGGGCGCCCCGACCCCGAAGCUGCUUCUCCAGGCGCCCGAGGCGGAGAGAAGGCACUGGGGUCUCCGUCUCCACCAGUGAUUUCUGGUGAAACAGGAAACAAAACCCGGGAAACAAAUGGGACGAAAUGUUGGCGGUUUUGAUGCUGGAUGAUGGGAAUAUGGGCGUGUGUUUUGUACCUUUCUGUUAUCUUCAGUUUUCUCAAAACACGAAAAACAGACUAAGAACAGCGCAUAGAAAACAUUGGGGCACAACUAAAGCUCAUAAAUGCACACGUUUUCAUAACCUGACCGAGGUCCAUGCUGCUGUAGCGCAUACCCCCAAGAACAGAGGGCCGCGUGUUCUUAUGGCCCCGGUGCCGGCCCCCAAGCGGGGUUCCCGCAGGAGAUAGGGCCUGGCUCCCGCUUCAGCACCGCGUGGCCUGGAGUGCAGUUCUGGCGGCCAAGAUCUGAGGGCUGUAGCCCGUGCCCUCACCAGGAUCCCAGACUUAGAGUCCCUGCCCUCCCCGGGAUCCCAGGGCUCGAUCCUGUGCCCUCCCCGGGAUCCCAGGGCUGGAGCCCAUGCCCUCCCCAGGAUCCCAGGGCGCGAGCUGGUGGCUUCUCAAGCGGAGUUUUGCCUGCUUGUUACAUUAGUGAAUGUAGGACCACUUGAGUAAAGGACCAAACCUUUAUUCUUUUGCUUUUCUGCCAUUGAAACCAUUCAACCCAUGCUGAUUAAUACCUACUGUUUGCCAGGUAAUAUGCCCCUUGCAGAAAGACGCAAACAGCUAAACCCCAAAUGGGAUGUUGUACAGGACAAAUGACCGUGUCAAUUAAUACCAAUAAUUAAGAUAAUAGUAUAAUUAUGAUGAUAAUAUAAUUAAUUCGAGCCUGGAGGA
rnacentral:lncRNA from 10 species